AAACCCGUAGGCCAAUUUCAUUUAUAAAAACUGGUACAGACACCCUAAAUUAGCGAACAACUUAGUAGCAUUUUAAAAUCCUAAUAAAAAAAGGCCAUGUGAGGUUUAUUCUAGGCAUUUACAAAUGUUUUGAAAGUGGAAACUUAAUUUAUAUUAAGAUCUUAGUAACAGAGGCAUGUUGAGAGAGUGUCUACCAUCAUGAAUUUUUGAACAUGAUUCUAGAGGCAAUAGGUAAUGUGUGUGAGAGUAUGAACCUGUUCCUUUGGAAAACCCCAAAGAAUUAUUUGAAGAGGAGAAUUUAGAAAUGUGGCUGGCUAUAAUAAAAUCCAUAAAGAGCAAUACUUUCCUAUAGAUUAUAACUGGAUAGGGUACAAUGCCAGAGAAUCUAGCAUAGCAACAAUAGGUAAGUUUGUAAGAAUCGAAAGAAACCUGCAAGAUCGAGUUGAAGAAAACCAUCUCCUGAAGGACAAAGAUCCCCACCUGACUUCAGCGCAGCCGCCUGGACAGCUCUGGAGGGCUUCAACUCCUCUCAAGCACAGCCACUUCUUUCACCGCCUGUCCUGGGGUUCCUACUACACCGUAGAGGUUUCCAAGAGCCUGCUUGCAUCGUGUCUCUGAUUCUGAUACGCCGCCUUCACCCUGGACCCUCCAUCCCUGCUGGGGCCUCCCUGGGGGCUUUCAUCUGUGUCGCCCACUGUUGAUAUGGAGCUGCGUCAGCCUGAGGACGGACUGGUCUGAGCAUCAGAGAGCCAGGAUGGAGCCUGCUACUAAUGGCAAGCGUCUGGAUUCCAUGAACGAUCCUUUGAAGGGGUGACACUGUGGUGACCCCUCCCCCUGCU
rnacentral:lncRNA from 1 species